rnacentral:lncRNA from 1 species
GUAUGGGGACCUUAUUUCCUCUGUCUUUUAUCUGGCUUUUCCGUACAUUUUUAAAUCAAUAUGAAAAAACUAGACUUAAAAGUUGAAAUAAGUUUAAAUGGGACUGACUUUUUGAAGUCAGAACACGAUUUGACCUGUUAAAGUCAGUUGACAGGAAAAAAAUGUCCUAUCAAAGCUAGGUGUUCUUCCUCUAAUCCCCCUCCCCACUAAAUAUCAAUCUGCUACUGUUGAGUUAAUUAAUUACUGAGUUUUUUAGAAACAAUUCAGUCAAAUGGUUAUUAGAAUAUAAAUUUUUUUUGCAACCACAAGUUCCAUGUGUUAACUUAACAGAAAAGAAAAGUCAUGAAAAUACAG